CCUGAUCCGGAGCCGAGCUCUGCCAGCGGAUCGGGAGCACGAGUCAAUAACUGGCAGAGGCGGGGGAACCACAAGCGGCAGCGGGGGACUGCCUUGGGGUGAAGUCCGUCAGCAGCAAGCCUCUUCCAGUGAAGGAAUCCCUCAGCGGGAUAUCUCUGUGCCGAAGCUUGCUUACGGCGGACCGGGUCUUUGAACUCUCUGACCCGAAUCCGACAGCUAACUUCGCAGGCUUUCCAGAGAGGAAUC
rnacentral:sRNA from 2 species